rnacentral:rRNA from 1 species
GAGGUAGUGACAAGAAAUAACAACAUAGAUAUUUUAUUUAUGAUUGGAAUGAGAGGAUCCUAAACGAUUCCUCGAGAACCCAUUGGAGGGCAAGUCUGGUGCCAGCAGCCGCGGUAAUUCCAGCUCCAAUAGCGUAUAUUAAAGUUGCUGCAGUUAAAACGCUCGUAGUUGUUGUCCAACUAUACGCUUCAUUGCAUUUGCUAUUGAAGUAAUUAGUUUAGCUGAGACUUCGUUUCGGCCAAAACCUUGAGGAAAGAUUAGUGUUCCAAGCAGUUAAUUUUGUCCUCCCCAGCAUGGUAUUCAACCCAACCGACGAGAGCCGCAAGGCCCUCAUCAAACUAAAUAGAAAUUCAAGGAGGUAUACGUACUUUAAUGUCAGAGGUGAAAUUCCUAGAUUUUUAAAAGACGGUCAGUUGCGAAAGCGUUCACCAAGCGACUCUUCUUUGAUCAAGAACGAAAGUUGGGGGAUUGAAGACGAUCAGAUACCGUCGUAAUCUCAGCCGUAAACUAUGCCGACUUGUCGCGGGCAGGUUCUUUCUUCUAACCUGUCGUCGACUUUUGAGAAAUCAAAGUUUUUGGGCUCUGGGGGGAGUAUGAUUGCAAGAUUGAAACUUAAAGGAAUUGACGGAAGGGCACCACCAGGAGUGGAGCUUGCGGCUUAAUUUGACUCAACACGG